CCUACGGGGGGCAGCAGUGGGGGAUAUUGCACAAUGGGGGAAACCCUGAUGCAGCGACGCCGCGUGUGGGAAGACGGUCCUCUGGAUUGUAAACCACUGUCCCCAGGGACGAAGAUGACGGUACCUGGGGAGGAAGCUCCGGCUAACUACGUGCCAGCAGCCGCGGUACUACGUAGGGAGCGAGCGUUGUCCGGAAUUACUGGGUGUAAAGGGAGCGUAGGCGGGACUGCAAGUUGGGUGUCAAAUCUACCGGCUCAACCGGUAGCCGCACUCAAAACUGCAGUUCUUGAGUGAAGUAGAGGCAGGCGGAAUGCCUAGUGUAGCGGUGAAAUGCGUAGAUAUUAGGAGGAACACCAGUGGCGAAGGCGGCCUGCUGGGCUUUUACUGACGCUGAGGCUCGAAAGUGUGGGGAGCAAACAGGAUUAGAUACCCGGGUAGUC
rnacentral:rRNA from 1 species